rnacentral:rRNA from 1 species
CGGGAUGGACAUACCUCUGGUGUACCAGUUGUCGUGCCAACGGCAUAGCUGGGUAGCUAUGUGUGGACGGGAUAAGUGCUGAAAGCAUCUAAGCAUGAAGCCCCCCUCAAGAUGAGAUUUCCCAACUUCGGUUAUAAGAUCCCUCAAAGAUGAUGAGGUUAAUAGGUUCGAGGUGGAAGCAUGGUGACAUGUGGAGCUGACGAAUACUAAUCGAUCGAAGACUUGAUCAA